rnacentral:rRNA from 1 species
AUUGAACGCUGGCGGCAGGCCUAACACAUGCAAGUCGAACGAGUGGCGGACUGGUGAGUAAUUUCUUGGAAACUGCCUGAUGGAGGGGGAUAACUACUGGAAACGGUAGCUACUACCGCAUACCAUCGGAUGUGCCCAGAUGGGAUUAGGUAGUAGGUGGGGUAAAGGCUCACCUAGGCGACGAUCCCUAGCUGGUCUGAGAGGAGGACCAGCCACCCUGGAACUGAGACACGGUCCAGACUCCUACGGGAGGCAGCAGUGGGGAAUAUUGGACAAUGGGCGCAAGCCUGAUGCAGCCAUGCCGCGUGUAGGAAGAAGGCCUUCGGGUUGUAAAGUACGUUCAGCGGGGAGGCGUUACCCGCAGAAGAAGCACCGGCUAACUCCGUGCCAGCCGCCGCGGUAAUUC